rnacentral:rRNA from 1 species
UACGUAGGGUGCAGGCGUUUAAUCGGAAUUACUGGGCGUAAAGCGUGCGCAGGCGGUUUGCUAAGACAGGUGUGAAAUCCCCGGGCUCAACCCGGGAACUGCGUCCGAUACUGGAAGGCUUGAAUCCGGGAGAGGGAUGCGGAAUUCCAGGUGUAGCGGUGAAAUGCUUAGAUAUCGUCCAGAACACCGAUAGCGAAGGCAGCUUACUAAGGAGUAACUGACGCUGAGGCACGAAAGUGUGGGGAUCAAACAGG